CACCAUGACUGACAGGGGGGAAGAUCUAGUUAGAAUAAGAAAAAUUCAUUAUCUUCAUUUCUAAUGCUCUCCUUUUUGUUUUUAUCAUCUCUCUCACUCUUGUACUCGAUUAUUUUUAGAGUUGUUAUCAGGCGAUGGAACUUGCAAAAACACAUAUAUUUCAAUUUUAUUAAAUGGGAUUGAAAUCAGCUACGCGAUUGGUUAAAUUACGAAAUAUUUGCCGCGAACCGUCGCAGAAAUCUAAUGUGAUGCUUCUGCUCAGCGUUAUAUUACGUCAUUGGUGCUUCAUGCAGUAGCUUUCGCAAAUCUGUUCAUACUGUUCAUUACUACGUUUACCAGGUUGUUUUGGGUGUGGCGAUAUCUCUUACGAUUAAAUUCAAUUUACUGAAUUUAUUUUCCAUGAACAUCAUAAAAACUCCAGAUGUAAUGUGUUACAGAGUAUUCCUCAUAUUAGUCCUUUUUCAUUCCAUGAUAUAGCAUACAUAAAAGGCCCAUGUAAAUGAUUUUUUCAACUGGAAACAGAUACAGUGUGCUACUCUUGCAAACAACUAAAUGACUUGCUUAGAGACGACAUCCUUGGAUUAUAUGGGCGCACUACUUUGAUUUAUUUUUAUUUCCAAAAAUGCUUCUGAUGUGCAGGUUUCUAUGAAAACAUAAUAAACACAGCAAUCGAAAUGUGGAGAAACACAGCCCCACUCACACUUCGCUCUCUUGGACUUGGAAUGGAGUCAUUUGCGGAAAAGGUUAUCAUUUAAACUUAUUAAAUGAACAAGGAGACAAAAAAUGAGAAGGAUUCAAAAUGUGGAGAAGUGGAGCCCUGUUAGUGUUCCAUCCUUUUAGACUUACAAAGUGCAAUUUCAACAAACAAAGUCCAAUACAUAUUGGUGUACUUAGGAAUAAAAGUUGAGCAUCGUACAGUUAUCCUCGGUAUCGUCUAAAUGAUGAGAAAGAGAGAAUUAAAGUUCACAUUGAUGGUACUGAAACAGCCAAGGUCUUGUUUUGAUUUGGUGUUUUCGUCUUCAUCUUGCAACAUUAUGCAUUUAAUUUUCAACAGUUGAGUGAGAGGAAAAGGAGAUUCCACUGAAACAAGUUUUCUGCUAUGAUAUUCCUUCUGGAUUUAGUUUGCUUUUCACACAUGCAAACUUGGGAACGUUUACAGUAGUCUACUGUUUGCUAAGGUGAGAGUAUUUAAUAUAAUCAGUAUUAAUUGCUCUUUAUUAAUCUGUUACCACUGUAUCUGUUUCAGAUCGACGCUGGAGAAGAAAAAGAAGACCCCGUAGUUAAAAUAGUUCUUUUGUCUUGCAUGCUCCACCUAAUAGAAAUAAUUCUUUUAAUCCAAAUUCAGAUUAAUUUUUUAUUUUGCGUGUUUUUUUUGUAGUUAAUUUGAAUUA
rnacentral:lncRNA from 1 species